rnacentral:lncRNA from 1 species
AUAUGAAAUGUUCUUCCCUGGAGACUUUCACUUUAGUGACAUCCCUUGUUGGAAAUCAAAGAGUUUGUCC